rnacentral:rRNA from 1 species
ACGGAGGAUCCAAGCGUUAUCCGGAAUCAUUGGGUUUAAAGGGUCCGUAGGCGGUUUUGUAAGUCAGUGGUGAAAGCCCAUCGCUCAACGGUGGAACGGCCAUUGAUACUGCAAGACUUGAAUUAUUAGGAAGUAACUAGAAUAUGUAGUGUAGCGGUGAAAUGCUUAGAGAUUACAUGGAAUACCAAUUGCGAAGGCAGGUUACUACUAAUUGAUUGACGCUGAUGGACGAAAGCGUGGGGAGCGAACAGGA